AUACUACUCCCUCCGUCCGAAAACACUUGUCAUCAAAAUGGACAAAAAGAGAUGUAUCUAGAACUAAAAUACAUCUAGAUACAUCCCCUUUUAUUCGUUUUGAUGACAAGUAUUUUCGGACGGAGGGAGUAUAUC
rnacentral:pre_miRNA from 1 species